rnacentral:rRNA from 1 species
AUUGAACGCUGGCGGCAGGCCUAACACAUGCAAGUCGAACGAGUGGCGGACGGGUGAGUAAUGUCUGGGAAACUGCCUGCUGGCGGGGGAUAACUCCUGGAAACGGUAGCUAAUACCGCAUACCCUCGGAUGUGCCCAAAUGGGAUUAGCUAGUAGGUGGGGUAACGGCUCACCUAGGCGACGCUCCCUAGCUGGUCUGAGAGGGUGACCAGCCACAAUGGAACUGAGACACGGUCCAGACUCCUAAGGGAGGCAGCAGUGGGGAAUAUUGCGCAAUGGGCGCAAGCCUGAUGCAGCAAUGCCGCGUGUGUGAUGAAGGCCGUCGGGUUGUAAAGUACUUUCAGCGGGGAGGCGGUACCUGCAGAGUAAGCACCGGCUAACUCCGUGCCAGCAGCCGCGGUAAUUC